CCUACGGGAGGCAGCAGUGGGGAAUCUUGGACAAUGGGCGAAAGCCUGAUCCAGCGACGCCGCGUGGAGGACGAAGGCCUUCGGGUUGUAAACUCCUUUUAGAGGGGAAAAGGGAGGAUGGUACCCUCUGAAUAAGCCACGGCUAACUCUGUGCCAGCAGCCGCGGUAAGACAGAGGUGGCGAGCGUUGCUCGGAAUCACUGGGCUUAAAGGGCGUGUAGGCGGUUAUGCAAGUGCUGGGUGGAAUGCUAUGGCUAAACCAUAGAGCUGCCCUGCAGACUGCAUGACUGGAGUGAGCGAGGGGAGGGCGGAAUUCCCGGUGUAGGGGUGAAAUGCGUAGAUAUCUGGAGGAACACCGGAGGCGAAGGCGGUCUCCUGGCCCGUUACUGACGCUCAGGCACGAAAGCGUGGGGAGCAAACAGGAUUAGAUACCCCGGUAGU
rnacentral:rRNA from 1 species